GAAUGACAGUCAGAUGAACAGGUUAGACUAACAGAAAGGUGAGAUAACAGGUAGCAUCUGCCACAGACCAGGCGCGUAGCUCGCUCGGACUCUGGGGCAAAUAGCUCAGUGGGUUAGAGAGUCAUCUUAUGGAGUGUUUACAUCCGAGACCUUGAUGAUUUGCAAGUUUAAGUCACAGUGAUGGAGUAUAAAUGAGUACCACCAGAAAUGCUGAGGAAGAAGGCAGCCUACCUAGGUAGCUGAUUCAAGACCCCCUGAAGAAUCAGCUAAAGGGGCAUUCCUGGCGGGGAGAGGGAUGGUUGCCAACUCUGAAGCAACCAAACGUGAUUGGACUGUAUGACUGUUAGAUAUGGUGUAUGUCAUCUUUUGCAAGCUGCUUCCUGGUACUGUUCAAUGCUCUUUGCGCUAGGAUUUUCUGGUACCCGUAUAUAAAUACAGAUUAGUCAUUUAGGACAGGACAAGGUACCAAUUCUAGA